rnacentral:piRNA from 1 species
UGUUGUUUCUUUCCGGGGGCUCUGAUG